rnacentral:lncRNA from 1 species
GUAAUACCCGGCUAGACUCCGGUAUCGAAAUUCCUACCGUCCGGUGGAAUCUCGGAUGUCGGAGACCUCUAGAAGGGUAAAACCAUGUUUUCAUGAAAUGUUUUAAUGCUUUUGAUGAUUUUAAGUAAAGAGGAAAUGAGUUUUUGAAUAAGAACACCCUUGGAGGAAAGCUCAGGUUCGGCCGCCGAAACUCAAAGUUCGGCCGCCGAACAUGAAUGCGUUUCGGGUGAGACUUAGGCCCCCGAAGGCAUAAGUGAGGGAAGUCCAGGUUCGGCCGCCGAACCUCAAGUUCGGCCGCCGAACAUGGCAUGCAUACGGAGGCACUUUCGGCCCCCGAACGUGGCCUGGCCAGCCACUAUAAAAGGGUCCCUUAGCCGAAAACGUGCGAGUUUUUCCCCCUUUUCGGCCAAGGUGAGCUCUCCGCCGUCCCUCACCGAUCUUUGAUGUUUUCCCUCUAGAUCUUUCAAGUUUUUCACAAGUUUUUACGUUGUUUUGAAGAUUUUCGAGUUUAAAGCAAGUUUUGGAGCUCUGAGGUUCAAGAACUCAAAAUCUCCCACCUCCGAGUUUAGGACGUCUCUCUCUCGAUCUUCAAGAGGUAAGAGCCGAUCUUAAGCUCAUUUCAUGUUUAAAGUAAGUUUUAUGCAAGAUCUAUGGGGUAGAAUGCAUGUUUAGCUCAUAAUUAGGUUUUUGAGUUUAUGUUGUGUUUUUGAGCAAUGUGUUGUUGUUGUGUGUUGUAGUUGGGGUUUAAGUUAGUUUGAAGCCCCUAGGAGCCAAUGUAUGUAUAUUUGCAUGUUUUGGUUGAGCUAAAUGCAUGAUUGGAAGUUUUGGAGGCAAAUGUGCUUAAAGGAGCCAAGUUUCUGCCCUUUGGCAGAAACCAAGUUCGGCAGCCGAAGGAACUUUCGGCCGCCGAACAUGGCUGGGGAGGCAGGCCUUUCGGCUGCCGAAGUUGCCCCCGAAAAGAGACUUUUGUCUCUGUCUGGGACUUUCGGCCGCCGAAGGUGCCGCCGAACCUGCCUGGGUUUCGGCUCUGGAGGGACUUUCGGCCGCCGAAGGUGCCGCCGAACCUGCCCUGUUCUGCCUUCCUUUGCAUGUUUUUGCAUGGAUGUUUUGAGGUGUUUUAGGGGGUUUUUGGGGGAUGUUUGUAGAGUUAUGUUCUAGUUGUUUGGUCCCUCAUUUGAGUCCACCUGUGUAGAUUCGGACCCGAGGAACCGAGGACCCCAGCAGUGAGUUAGCUGCAUCAGUCUUUGUCAGAGCUAGCCAAGAGGUGAGUAGAAUAAACCUUAUGUUUUUAAAGCAAAUGAAUUAUACAGUUGAGCAUGUUCAUGCAUCAUGAAUGCCAUGUGAUGAAAUAGGUUGUUUGCAUUAGAAUCCACGAAUAUGUUGCAUUGCAUUUAUGAUGUUGAUGUGGAUUGGUUAUUGGAUGAUCCUUUAGUCCUCAUAUGAUAUGAUGAUGCUACGGCAUGGUAUGGUAUGGAAGUCCAGGUUGUACCCAUUCUACGUCCCUGGCAUAUUAGAAUGUUAUGAUAUGUGAUGUUAAGAGAAAGAUCGGUUGUACCCAUUCUACGUCCCGACACUUUGGAAUGUAGAGGACUAUUGGUGACAAUACCAUCCGAGAUGUGAUUUGUUGUGAUGUGUUGCAUUACAUGAUGGCAUGAGAUUUUAAAUAUUGUUUCUAUUAUUCUGCUCACUGGGCUUUUGUAGCUCACCCCUUUCCCUAAUCCCCCAGGAUUGCAGGUUCGGGCUAGACAGCGAAGUCAAGAAGAGUAAAGUCUUGUAUUGUAAUAGUUAGAAAGUGGACAUGAUAAAUUGUUUAAUGAUGUAAAGUUUGAAUAGUCAUGUUAUGUAUAAUGUUAUUGAGGAUUAGAAGUUGUGCUUGACCCUAUGGAUGUUGUUAUCCCUCGUUGAUACAUGAUCUUAAUGUCUAUUGAUGUUCAUGUUUAACCAACUCAACUUAUGAUGUAUCGCCCAUUGGGGCAUUGAUGAGAUCCCAUUGAGGGGUCAAGUUUAUGAUUAAGAUUAUGUUUAGUGCAUGCACAGGUUGAGUUUGGUGUAUGAGGAAUGAAUGAAAGAAAAGUUUUAAUUUUCGUGUAUGAUUGUUGAUCAUGUAUGGGAUUAAACAGGUUUACAGAUUGCAUGUCAGGCUUGCUACGGGUCCCGGCGGCCUUAAGCUGAUCUGGAUCCUAGCGCCGGUAGCGGUCCGAUUUUCGGGUUGUUACAGAAUGGUAUCAGAGCCCUAGGUUCAUAUGGUCGGACCUAGAGUGUCGGGCUCAUAGAGGUUAUAGAAGGUCAAGCACAAUAGGAAGAUCAUGUCCACUAGGAUAGGAUGAGUAGUCCUGUCUUGCUUAAUGAUGUGAAAUGCCAUGACUAUAUGCAUGUGCAUUAAUGAUAUGAAUGAUAUGUAUGUGAUGCGGGUUCAUGUGUGCCCACAUGAACCAUAUGAUGCUAAUGUUUAUGUUAUGUGCUGCCUUUCAGAAAACAGGAUGAGGGGAACUCGUCGAUCAGCAAGAUUGACUGGAGUGCCACCUGAGGAUGAGGGCAUGAGCGCCCGUCCUCCUACAUUGCCUAGGGCAAUGUCUAGUAGGUCUAACAGAGAAAGAGCAGUAAGAGACCCUAGAAGGUCUCUGGAUCUGGGUAGGAGCAGAUCAGUGAGAGGAACAGUUCAGGGAGGAAUGUCAGAAGGCAUGGGGGAUGAUAUGGAUGUAGAACAGAGGAGGGAUGGCAGUUUGGGAGUUAGCAUGUCAGAAGAGGGAAUGGGAGAGUCCCAAGGAGGCACUCAGGCCUCGGGAUUUGUUCAGCCACCCCACUACCCACACUUCUCACAAAAUCCCAGGUAUUCGAUGGGAGGUACAUCGGAUUACCCUAACUUCACCCCUUAUCCCACACAGAUGCCAUACCCACCCUACUACCCACCAUAUUCACAAUACCCAAUGUAUCCACCCCCACCUUACUAUCCAAAUCCAGCAAACCCUACCUCAGAAAAUGUUGCACCACCUACAGAACCAGCAGCCCCAGUUACCCAACCUCUUAGACCUAGCUCAGCCAGUGGGAGCAAGGUCAAGAUGACCGACUAUAUGAAGUUGGGAGCUCCCCAGUAUGAAAAAGGGGAUGACCCGUUUGUGUAUCUUGAGAGGGUUAAGGUGAUCACAUAUGAGAUUGGGGCUGAUGACAGUAGAGCCAUUCAGAUGGCCGGGUUCACUCUUAAGUGUAAGAAGGCGCGAGAGUGGUUCAAGAAUUAUGUGAACCCCAGAGUAGACAGCAUGUCUUGGGAGGAGUUUGCAAACGAGUUUGCAGGAUGGGCUUUCCCAGAUAGUUCAAGGGAACUGAAGAUGAUAGAGUUUGAGCAGUUGAGGCAGACUGAUGAGAUGGGUGUAGAGGAGUUCACAGACAGAUUCUUGGAGCUGUUGCCAUUUGCAGGGCAGAAUCUUGACUCAGACCAAAAAAGGUCAAGGAGGUAUAUCAUGAAACUCCACUCUAGAUAUUCCUCCUUGAUCCAGUCAGCAGAUAGGGAGAGCUUCCACGCCAUAGUGGAUAUGGCCCGGAAAAUGGAGGCCAGUGCCAUCGUUCAGGGAACAGUUAAGCAGUCAGUGGCACAACCUUCUGGUUCCAAGACCCCAGGCUCUUCUUCUUUCAGUGCAACAGCUUCAGGUAGCAAAAAGUGGAGUAACACCACUAGGAAGUCCAAGAAGAACAAGUUUUGGAACAAGGUCAAGUCUAGUCUGGGACUAGGGAGUGGCUCAAGCUCUGGCGCGGAUAAUGCAGUUUGUGCAAAGUGUGGUAGGCUACACAGGGGAGUUUGUCGGGCUGGGACAGUAGCCUGCUUCAGAUGCGAGCAAGAGGGACACAUGGCUCGGGAGUGUCCUAGGGCAGCUUUUGGAGCACAGUCUCAGCAGACGACUUCAGGUAGUGUAGCGCAGCCAGCAGCUCCAGCCAUGACUCAGGCCAGUGGCAGAGGCAGAGGGAGAGGGGCAGCCUCUUCUUCAGCGGGUUUCAGAGGUGAAGGUCCAUCAGCUCCAGCACGGAUCUUCACGAUGACUCAGCAGGAGGCAGAUGCAUCUAACACCGUGGUGGCAGGUAAUUUANNNNNNNNNNNNNNNNNNNNNNNNNNNNNNNNNNNNNNNNNNNNNNNNNNNNNNNNNNNNNNNNNNNNNNNNNNNNNNNNNNNNNNNNNNNNNNNNNNNNNNNNNNNNNNNNNNNNNNNNNNNNNNNNNNNNNNNNNNNNNNNNNNNNNNNNNNNNNNNNNNNNNNNNNNNNNNNNNNNNNNNNNNNNNNNNNNNNNNNNNNNNNNNNNNNNNNNNNNNNNNNNNNNNNNNNNNNNNNNNNNNNNNNNNNNNNNNNNNNNNNNNNNNNNNNNNNNNNNNNNNNNNNNNNNNNNNNNNNNNNNNNNNNNNNNNNNNGCAAGUUUUGGAGCUUUGAGGUUCAAGAACUCAAAAUCUCCCACCUCCGAGUUUAGGACGUCUCUCUCUCGAUCUUCAAGAGGUAAGAGCCGAUCUUAAGCUCAUUUCAUGUUUAAAGUAAGUUUUAUGCAAGAUCUAUGGGGUAGAAUGCAUGUUUAGCUCAUAGUUAGGUUUUUGAGUUUAUGCUGUGUUUUUGAGCAAUGUGUUGUUGUUGUGUGUUGUAGUUGGGGUUUAAGUUAGUUUGAAGCCCCUAGGAGCCAAUGUAUGUAUAUUUGCAUAUUUUGGUUGAGCUAAAUGCAUGAUUGGAAGUUUUGGAGGCAAAUGUGCUUAAAGGAGCCAAGUUUCUGCCCUUUGGCAGAAACCAGGUUCGGCAGCCGAAGGAACUUUCUGCCGCCGAAUAUGGCUGGGGAGGCAAGCCUUUCGGCUGCCGAAGUUGCCCCCAAAAAGAGACUUUCGUCUCUGUCUGGGACUUUCGGCCGCCGAAGGUGCCGCCGAACCUGCCCUGUUCUGCCUUCCUUUGCAUGUUUUUGCAUGGAUGUUUUGAGGUGUUUUAGGGGGUUUUUGGGGGAUGUUUGUAGAGUUAUGUUCUAGUUGUUUGGUCCCUCAUUUGAGUCCACCUGUGUAGAUUCGGACCCGAGGAACCGAGGACCCCAGCAGUGAGUUAGCUGCAUCAGUCUUUGUCAGAGCUAGCCAAGAGGUGAGUAGAAUAAACCUUAUGUUUUUAAAGCAAAUGAAUUAUACAGUUGAGCAUGUUCAUGCAUCAUGAAUGCCAUGUGAUGAAAUAGGUUGUUUGCAUUAGAAUCCACGAAUAUGUUGCAUUGCAUUUAUGAUGUUGAUGUGGAUUGGUUAUUGGAUGAUCCUUUAGUCCUCAUAUGAUAUGAUGAUGCUACGGCAUGGUAUGGUAUGGAAGUCCAGGUUGUACCCAUUCUACGUCCCUGGCACUAUGUAAGAGAAAGUCCAGGUUGUACCCAUUCUACGUCCCUGGCAUAUUGGAAUGUUAUGAUAUGUGAUGUUAAGAGAAAGACCGGUUGUACCCAUUCUACGUCCCGGCACUUUGGAAUGUAGAGGACUAUUGGUGACAAUACCAUCCGAGAUGUGAUUUGUUGUGAUGUGUUGCAUUACAUGAUGGCAUGAGAUUUUAAAUAUUGUUUCUAUUAUUCUGCUCACUGGGCUCUUGUAGCUCACCCCUUUCCCUAAUCCCCCAGGAUUGCAGGUUCGGGCUAGACAGUGAAGUCAAGAAGAGUAAAGUCUUGUAUUGUAAUAGUUAGAAAGUGGACAUGAUAAAUUGUUUAAUGAUGUAAAGUUUGAAUAGUCAUGUUAUGUAUAAUGUUAUUGAGGAUUAGAAGUUGUGCUUGACCCUAUGGAUGUUGUUAUCCCUCGUUGAUACAUGAUCUUAAUGUCUAUUGAUGUUCAUGUUUAACCAACUCAACUUAUGAUGUAUCGCCCAUUUGGGCAUUGAUGAGAUCCCACUGAGGGGUCAAGUUUAUGAUUAAGAUUAUGUUUAGUGUAUGCACAGGUUGAGUUUGGUGUAUGAGGAAUGAAUGAAAGAAAAGUUUUAAUUUUCGUGUAUGAUUGUUGAUCAUGUAUGGGAUUAAACAGGUUUACAGGUUGCAUGUCAGGCUUGCUACGGGUCCCGGCGGCCUUAAGCCGAUCUGGAUCCUAGCGCCGGUAGCGGUCCGAUUUUCGGGUCGUUACAACAACUAAGAUUAAAAAUACAACACCAUAAAUCAAAUAGAACUAAAGUUUUACUAAAUGACAUAAAUCCUAGUAUCAAAUCACUCAAAUUAUUGGAUAGUUCUUACUUAAAGAUUGAAAGUUGAAGAGAGGAAUAAGCUGGAUUUUUGCAUCCACGAACCCUUCUAGUUUUCCAAAGCAGACAUCAAUUUUAGCAAUAUCAAAAUAAAAUAUCAUAGAAAAAUAAAACUUUAAACUCAAAAGAAAAACUACAUCAAAUUACACCUGAAAAUGAACAUAGCAGGGCCCAAACCACUAGGCUAGGAACUUAGGAACAUAUACAUAUAUGCAAGACAAUCUAUUCAAUGGCUGAGACAUUGUGGCUCUUCUUCUAAAGGUUCACUACCUCAAACAUUAAAAAAGAAAAUAAUUCUUUUUCUUUUCCAGCUCCAAAGAGGCAUCACCUUUGGCAUAAUAAAACAGAUUGCCUAUUCACAUAUAUUCCACAAAACCUUCCUCGAAUGUCAAAUCACAUCCCGCUUAGGCAAGAAACACACAAUAUUGAAUUCCCCUUUCACUGAGAUAUGUUUGGGGACAAGAACGCAUCAUUCUUUAUGCUAUGCCUUAUCAACUAGUUCUGGAAUCAAAUCAACUAGCAAAUAGCAACAUGAAAACUUCAGUCCUAAUAGACUACAGGGGAAAUAAAGAUCUUUCCUCCCAAACUUGUAUGCUAGAAGCAAAGAAUAUUCAAAUUUAC